rnacentral:rRNA from 1 species
GUGGGGAAUCUUCCGCAAUGGACGAAAGUCUGACGGAGCGACGCCGCGUGAGUGAAGAAGGCCUUCGGGUCGUAAAGCUCUGUCAUCAGGGACGAAUGGCCGGUGGAGUGGAAAGCCACCGGAUUGACGGUACCUGAGAAGGAAGCCACGGCUAACUACGUGCCAGCAGCCGCGGUAAUACGUAGGUGGCAAGCGUUGUCCGGAAUUAUUUGGCGUAAAGCGCGCGCAGGUGGGAUCUUAAGUCCAUUUUGAAAGUUCGGAGCUCAACUCCGUGAUGGUAUGGAAACUGGGAUUCUUGAGUACCGGAGAGGAAAGCGGAAUUCCCCGUGUAGCGGGGAAAUGCGUAGAUAUGGGGAGGAACACCAGUGGCGAAGGCGGCUUUCUGGACGGUGUCUGACACUGAGGCGCGAAAGCCAGGGGAGCGAACGGGAUUAGAUACCCGAGUAGUCC